CCAAAAUUCAUUUAAACAGGGCGUAAGCAAUGAAUACAUUAAGGGCAAAAGUUAUAACUCCUAACUUUUAACUUUGUUUUGAGACGGAAUAGGGAUUUUAAAUAAAAUAUAUUGGUCUUAUUCGUCUUCCAAUCAUAAAAAUUGUUGCAUUAUUUAUUUUUUGAAGUGAAUUGAAUAAUAACUUAAAAUGGAUGAUUUAGGGUUGCUACAAGAAAAAGAUGAGAUUGAAAACAUCAUUCCUCAAGUGAGGUGUUAAAAUUUAUAAAACCCGUUUCAAUGCAUUUGAAGAACUAAAUGAAGAAGAAUUUAAGUACAGAUAUAGGUUUUACCGUUUAAAUUCUGUUGAACGGAGGUGCCUCCUUCAUUGCUUAAUUUCAAUUAGUGAUUUCGACAGAUUGAAAAUGAUGCAGGUGAUAUUAGUGGUAUAAGCCAACCUUCAUUAUUGUUAAUAAUAUGCAAAUUGCGUUAUCUAUAGUACUACGUAUAUUAGUCAAUGGUUUAAAAUGCCACAUAGUACUACAGUGUGAUUGCAGGUUUUAUAUUGCUAAGACAAAUGAUUGGAGUCAUUGACUGUACUCAUAUUCGGUACCUUAAGUCAGUUUAAAUAUUGAAAAAUACUACAUAAACAGAAUAGGAUUUAUGUAGUUCAAUAAAUGUCUAAGUAAGAAGUAAAUGGCUCUGUGGACUGAAUGUCAAUGAUUCAGCCAACGACAAGGUGGAGAGAUUUUUUAUUUUAAUUUAGCUGGUUGAGUUAUAAAAAGAGCUGAUUAAAAGGAAAUGAUUGGUUGAUAUAGCUGUGGUUUUUUUUUGUGAACUGAAGAAUAGGCAACAAGAGUUAGUAUGGUUAGUAAUAAACACCCAUAAUAUUAACUUCCUUGUUAGUAUCUAAUCUAAAUUUAAGGGAGAAAUGUGUGAAUGUAAGUGGGAAUAUGUGCCUAAUAGAAGCGUAGAAAGUAUGGAGGAUAGAAAUUACAAUUUAAUAUUAUUGCGGGAAAUAAAUUUUUAAAGAAUCUUUCUGAAAGGGGAAUGGCAUAAAGUAAGAAGAAAAGGGAUGUUGAUGGGGCGAGGGAUAUCUUUCGGUAGAAUGUCAUAUAAAGGAACUACAACACUACAAGACAAGAAUGAUGUAAAGAGGAUCAUUCAAUAUCUUCAGCUAAUCUAAAUUAACAGGUAAUUCUGCUUAUUAUGCACAUCACCAGUUCAUUAAGGAUCUCCAAGGUAACUUAUUUUCUGAAAUCUAGAUGAUUACUGAGAGGCCAAACCGUUAACAGUUCCCGAUUAGUAAACACUUGCAAGUGAGGAUAUAAGAAUAUGAAUGCAAGUCCAUCUCAUGAAUGGACUUUUCACCUUUGAAUUGAUUUUAUGUUAUAUAACUGUUCUGUUAUUGAAAUAAACAUGAUUGUAACAACUCAA